rnacentral:misc_RNA from 1 species
UGAGCGGAGCGCCAGCGUCCC